rnacentral:rRNA from 1 species
CACGUAGGGCGCAAGCGUGUCCGGAAUUAUUGGGCGUAAAGAGCUCGUAGGCGGUCUGUUGCGUCCGCUGUGAAAACUCGGGGCUUAACCCCGAGCCUGCAGUGGAUACGGGCAGACUAGAGGUAGGUAGGGGAGAAUGGAAUUCCCGGUGUAGGCGGUGAAAUGCGCAGAUAUCGGGAGGAACACCGGUGGCGAAGGCGGUUCUCUGGGCAUUACCUGACGCUGAGGAGCGAAAGUGUGGGGAGCGAACAGG